AGCUUUGCACAGAGGAGAUAACGUGAUCAAUGAGGCUCUGCCGAGGUGCGUUUAUUGCUGGUUGGUUUUUAAUUAGUGGGCGCGUAGAACCACAACGUUUUGCGGUGGUGGAGUAGAUCACAACUGGUGAAAUACCAGCAAGAAAUUUCUGGACGUAAGUUACCUGU
rnacentral:snRNA from 14 species